rnacentral:ncRNA from 1 species
GGCCGGGUGGAGAGGCGUAAUACAAUACCCGCAAGGGGAAUAUGCCCGGAGUUUCGUAUAAGGCUCUAGUUGACACCCGGCUACCAUCGA